rnacentral:rRNA from 1 species
UGGGGAAUAUUGCACAAUGGACGCAAGUCUGAUGCAGCAAUGCCGCGUGUGUGAAGAAGGCCUUCGGGUUGUAAAGCACUUUCAGAUGUGAGGAAAAGCGAUUUAUUAAUACUAAAUUGCCGUGACGUUAACAUCAGAAGAAGGACCGGCUAACUCCGUGCCAGCAGCCGCGGUAAUACGGAGGGUCCAAGCGUUAAUCGGAAUUACUGGGCGUAAAGCGCGCGUAGGCGGAUAAUUAAGUCAGAUGUGAAAUCCCUGGGCUCAACCUAGGAACUGCAUUUGAUACUGGUUAUCUAGAGUAUGGUAGAGGUGAGUGGAAUUUCAGGUGUAGCGGUGAAAUGCGUAGAGAUCUGAAGGAACAUCAGUGGCGAAGGCGACUCACUGGGCCAUUACUGACGCUGAGGUGCGAAAGCGUGGGUAGCAAACA